AUUGAACGCUGGCGGCAGGCUUAACACAUGCAAGUCGAGCGGAGAUGAGGUGCUUGCACCUUAUCUUAGCGGCGGACGGGUGAGUAAUGCUUAGGAAUCUGCCAUUUAGUGGGGGACAACAUUCCGAAAGGAAUGCUAAUACCGCAUACGUCCCACGGGAGAAAGCAGGGGAUAUUCGCACCUUGCGCUAAAUGAUGAGCCUAAGUCGGGUUAGCUAGUUGGUGGGGUAAAGGCCUACCAAGGCGACGAUCUGUAGCGGGUCUGGGAGGAUGGUCCGCCACACUGGGACUGAGACACGGCCCAGACUCCUACGGGAGGCAGCAGUGGGGAAUAUUGGACAAUGGGCGGAAGCCUGAUCCAGCCAUGCCGCGUGUGUGAAGAAGGCCUUUUGGUUGUAAAGCACUUUAAGCGAGGAGGAGGCUACCGAGAUUAAUACUCUUGGAUAGUGGACGUUACUCGCAGAAUAAGCACCGGCUAACUCUGUGCCAGCCGCCGCUGUAAUAC
rnacentral:rRNA from 1 species